UACAGAGGUCUCAAGCGUUGUUCGGAUUCAUUGGGCGUAAAGGGUGCGUAGGCGGCGCGGUAAGUCGGGUGUGAAAUCUUGGAGCUUAACUCCGAAACUGCAUUCGAUACUGCCGUGCUUGAGGACUGGAGAGGAGACUGGAAUUUGACGGUGUAGCGGUGAAAUGCGUAGAUAUCGUAAGGAAGACCAGUGGCGAAGGC
rnacentral:rRNA from 1 species